UACGGAGGGGACUAGCGUUGUUCGGAAUUACUGGGCGUAAAGCGCACGUAGGCGGAUUUGUAAGUCAGGGGUGAAAUCCCGGGGCUCAACCUCGGAACUGCCUUUGAUACUGCAAAUCUCGAGUCCGGAAGAGGUGAGUGGAAUUCCUAGUGUAGAGGUGAAAUUCGUAGAUAUUAGGAAGAACACCAGUGGCGAAGGCGGCUCACUGGUCCGGUACUGACGCUGAGUGAGCGAAAGCCAGGGGAGCAAACGGG
rnacentral:rRNA from 1 species